CUUUUCCUUCUCUCAUGCCUCACCUCAUCAGUUCCUAGGGCAGUCUGAGCUUGUUAUAAAGGAUGUAGCUGUCUCCCAGACCUGAAAUACAGCAGCUGCCUGAAGAGAAAUUUCUCCACUGCUCUCAUCGACUUCCCAUUCAAUACAGUGUUUGGAUCUGUCCAGGAUCCCUCUGCCAGAACUCCCUUUAGAGCACUUGAAGUCUGAAGUGAAGAAAGAGAAAAACAUCUCUUCUGUGGCUGGCAGAACUUUCAUCAACUUCCAGAGUUUACAGAGGCUGGACCAGGUCCCUGUCCCAGGGGAAGACUUCUUUCUGGGCAUGGGUGCUGUCACAAGGUCUUGGCUCCCAGCUACCUCGCUGUCUCAGAAAGCAGAACUUUUGUGAACCUGGAAGGCGUCAUCCAAUGUGUCACGUCCAGAGCUGAGCCCAGACUGGAGAGAAUUGGGGCUCUGGAUUCAGAAGACAGCAGCUUGGUUUGGUUCCUUUAAUGCUGCAGCUUCAGGACCAUGUGUCUGAGAUGCAACAAAAAGAAGACUCGAGAGACACAGUAGGACAUUGUCUGCAGCUGGGAUUUGAUCAUUAGUACAAGUACCUUUGAUCAUUCUCUUACCUGGGCUUCAGGGAUCGUCCCCCCCCCCAGUCCCCAAGGCCAUUGAUAUGUGGGACCUUGUAUGUGUCGCAGCCUGCCUGCAACCUGUUCUCCACUGGUGAGCACUCUAAUAAGCUGCAUCGAUUGUAUAUUCCUGGUGCAGUACCAGACUGCGUGGUGUAGGCAGGGAAGGUGAUGUGUCUGAGGUCUGAGUGAGAUUUAUGCUACAACCUGGUAGCAGGAAGCAAGAUAUUGGAGCUUUACCUACACCUCUCAUCCGCACGCUGCUGAGCCCAGGUUAUCCUUAUAUCUGUGCUGGUGAUCAGUUCUUGAUUACAAGAGCCUCCUCCAACAAAUAGGAUCACAAAGUAAUCAUCACAGGCCCAGUCUUUCAAAA